rnacentral:rRNA from 1 species
UACGAAGGGGGCUAGCGUUGUUCGGAUUUACUGGGCAUAAAGCGCACGUAGGCGGAUCGUUAAGUCGGGGGUGAAAUCCUGGAGCUCAACUCCAGAACUGCCUUCGAUACUGGCGAUCUCGAGUCCGGGAGAGGUGAGUGGAACUGCGAGUGUAGAGGUGAAAUUCGUAGAUAUUCGCAAGAACACCAGUGGCGAAGGCGGCUCACUGGCCCGGUACUGACGCUGAGGUGCGAAAGCGUGGGGAGCAAACAGG